rnacentral:rRNA from 1 species
GACGAACGCUGGCGGCGUGCUUAACACAUGCAAGUCGAACGGGAGUAUUGAAGAAGCUUGCUUUAGAGAUACUUUAGUGGCGGACGGGUGAGUAACGCGUGAGGAGCUGUCCGAUGCAGGGGGACAACAGUUGGAAACGACUGCUAAUACCCCAUAAGCCGAGAGGUAAAAGGAUUUAUCCGGCAUGGGAGGUACUCGCGUCCUAUCAGCUAGUAGGUGAGGUAACGGCUCACCUAGGCGAAGACGGGUAGCCGGCCUGAGAGGGCGAACGGCCACACUGGAACUGAGAUACGGUCCAGACUCCUACGGGAGGCAGCAGUGGGGAAUAUUGGGCAAUGGGGGGAACCCUGACCCAGCGACGCCGCGUGGGUGAAGAAAUCCUUCGGGAUGUAAAGCCCUGUUGUAUGGGAAGAGCGGAAGACGGUACCAUACGAGGAAGCCCCGGCAAACUACGUG